rnacentral:rRNA from 2 species
CCUUCUGGACUGACACUGACACUGAGGUGCGAAAGCGUGGGUAGCAAAUUGGAUUAGAUACCCUGGUAGUCCACGCCGUAAACGAUGUCCACCAGCCGUUGGGUGCCUAGCGCACUUUGUGGCGAAGUUAACGCGAUAAGUCGACCGCCUGGGGAGUACGGCCGCAAGGUUAAAACUCAAAUGAAUUGACGGGGGCCCGCACAAGCGGUGGAGCAUGUGGUUUAAUUCGAUGCAACGCGAAGAACCUUACCUACUCUUGACAUCCUGCGAAUUUGGUAGAGAUACCUUAGUGCCUUCGGGAACGCAGAGACAGGUGCUGCAUGGCUGUCGUCAGCUCGUGUUGUGAAAUGUUGGGUUAAGUCCCGUAACGAGCGCAACCCUUGUCCUUAUUUGCCAGCGCGUAAUGGCGGGAACUCUAAGGAGACUGCCGGUGACAAACCGGAGGAAGGUGGGGACGACGUCAAGUCAUCAUGGCCCUUACGAGUAGGGCUACACACGUGCUACAAUGGUCGGUACAAAGGGUUGCCAACUCGCGAGAGUGAGCCAAUCCCCGAAAAGCCGAUCUCAGUCCGGAUCGGAGUCUGCAACUCGACUCCGUGAAAGUCCGGAAAUCGCCUAGUAAAUCGUGGAUCAGAAUUGCCACGGUGGAAUACGUUCCCCGGGCCCUUGUACACACCCG